GCGGCACCCAGGAAUUUAUAAAUGGGCUCGGAGUGUUGUUCAGGCACCAGAAAAUAAACCUCCGAGCUAUUUACUACCUCCAUGAUAUAUAAAGUUUGCAGUUUUGAUUUUGUGUGAUUAUGUUCAGCAAUGGUGACCUUUAGAGGCAACAAUAUUGAAGUGUAAUGAGGAGAUGUUUGAUCACUGGUAUACAAUGAAGAGUUGGCGUGACUUCUCCAUUCCUUCCUGGAAUUUGUGAAAUCCAGCUGACAGGCUUUAACCUUUAGACUGCUGAAGUUUUAAAAUGUAUGGGGAUUUAGCCUGUUUAUACACCACAGAGGGUAUAUGAGAUUUUCUACCACCUCUCACCCCACCCCAUGCCGGGCAUUGCCCACAGUCACCUGCCAGGGGCAUGCAGGGAUGCACACGGGCUCUGUGUCUGAGCAAGGCUCUCUGCAAGCAGGCAUCGUGCAAGUUGGCAUCAGGACGUGGGGUUAUGGACCAUGAGUCCAAACACUUCAGAUAGGAUUUGACUGGAAUUCAAGGCACUUCAGAAUUGGAAUUCAAGACUUUGAGAUGAGCUAUUCACUAAUCAUUCAUUAAUACAUACUGCACAUACAAGGUAAUAGGCACAUGCACAGGCACUUACCUCUGUCCAUAUAAGUAUAUAUAUGUAUGUGUGUAUGUACAUAUGUCUGUCUGAGAGCAGGCAUGAGGUCCAAAACCACCCCAGAAGCUGUCACAAGUUCAAGGGUAGCACUGGCAGUGCAAAGGGUAACUGAUAGCAGAGUACUGGGAAAAUCAAUUAAUUACAGGUUGCUGUGAUCGCACCCACCCUGACUCCACCCAUCCCAGCUCAUUGCCUGCUCCAUGGCUUCAGCUGUGCCCUGCAGCUGCUUACUUUCAUAACCCAGCCUGCAAGCAGCACACUCCUGUUGUUAGGCAGUGCUUUGCAUGGAGGAGAGUGAGAAGGGUAUGCUCAGCUGGAGAGGAGUGGCUUUGUUCACCCAUCCAACAGGAGAGUUGGACCUGUCUGCGGGGACCACAGAGUUUCUCCCCGUGCCUUGCCGUCGCAGUGUGUGCUCCAGCCGACAGCUUACCUGUGGGGAGGAAGAAACGCGGCACCAAUUAGAAAGCUUUCAGCCCAGCGCCCAUGGAAAAGCCAAAAGCUGAUAAAGGUCAGCGUGAAAUUUGAAUGACAGGGCUAAAGUCUUCUACUCAUAAUUUUGUGUUUGCAAUAGAAUUCAGAGCAAUUCACAGCCUUAAAGGCCUUAAGUGAGAACAGCAAUUAAUUGUAAUGAAUAAUCUGACAAAUCUGGUUGACAUAUGGCUGCUAAUGCCCUCCUUUCUAGUGGGAGCAGUGGAGGGAUUAGAUUAACUCAAAUGAAAUCUGGGACCGCCAUGCCAUCUGCAUGUGCAGCGAGGAGCGGUGCGCACUAAGUGCUGAGCGGGCGGAGAUCCGCCUCGUCCUCAUCCCUCCCUGAGCCCCCGGCAGAUAUGGGAAUACCGCCUUUAUUAUUGCACCAGCUGCCUGUCAAUCCAAUAAUGCUGCGAAGUCAGAGAGUACAACCUCAAAAGCUAAUAUAGCAAAAAGCUGUUAAAAAUUAACCAGACGAAAUUAACAUAAAUGGAUAUAUCGCUGUUCAUGCAGUGUGUGUUCGUACUUGGCUCGCCCUGCCUGGGCCCUUCGCUGUUGUGUUUGCUCCCAGCUCACGGCAAGCUGUGCAAGGCCGUCCUCAAGCCUUGUGACAAUCACCACUGGGAGAAAGUCGGCAGAAAGUAAGGGUGAGGCAGGAGGCUUCUCCCCACAGCCCACUUCAUAUCCUGGGAGAUGCCAGGCCAGUGGAUGGCCAACCAUUGUGCUCGUCAAGUCAUCCCAUUGGAAGUCAGCUGGGUGUCCUACAAGUCACCAGCAUGGUCACAGAUACAGCCGCAGGCCAGGCGGAGCUUUGCUGUCAUUCAGCGAACAGGUAACUUGCUGGAAGUGGUGUGUGGUUCUUGAUGUAUCCACUGGUUGCUGGAAGAUGGCCCUGGUGCUCAGGGUCUUGCUGGAAAAUGACAGCUUGCUGCUCACAUCCACUGGCUCGUGCUUUUCUGAUGUGAAACGCUCAAGAUGCAAUGCGUGUAAGAGAUUUCUUCCACUCUUUAUUUUUUGUUGCCUCGGGUCCUCCAGCCUCUCCUCGACAUGUGCUUUGAGUUGUGGCCUGCAGCAGCCUCCUGGGUUCACAAGCUGCUCUGCUUUGUCAGGGGGGGAUUGUUCAUGGAGCAGAGCCCAUCGCACACCCUCUGCCCGCUUUCUGUUAUGUACAUCUAGAAAAAGAAAAUGAUAAAAGUGGCAUAUUUGGUGUGUGCACUUAAUGCUGCACCAUCCUGCCUGGAGAUAACCUUGUGUCCUCAGGGAGCACUGCUCUGCCCCUCAUGAGGGCUGAAAGCUGUUCAGUUGGGUGCAACCAAGGAGCAGUAUGGAAGUGCUCCUUCGGUUGGAGCGAACCUCAGCACCGAUCUGUCCCGUGCUGAGUGG